GCUAGCGGCGGAUGGGUGAGUAACACGUGGGCAAUCUGCCCUAAAGACUGGGAUACCACUUGGAAACAGGUGCUAAUACCGGAUAACAACAUGAAUCGCAUGAUUCAAGUUUGAAAGGCGGCGCAGGCUGUCACUUUAGGAUGAGCCCGCGGCGCAUUAGCUAGUUGGUGGGGUAAAGGCCUACCAAGGCAAUGAUGCGUAGCCGAGUUGAGAGACUGAUCGGCCACAUUGGGACUGAGACACGGCCCAAACUCCUACGGGAGGCAGCAGUAGGGAAUCUUCCACAAUGGACGCAAGUCUGAUGGAGCAACUCCGCGUGAGUGAAGAAGGUCUUCGGAUCGUAAAGCUCUGUUGUUGGUGAAGAAGGAUAGAGGCAGUAACUGGUCUUUAUUUGACGGUAAUCAACCAGAAAGUCACGGCUAACUACGUGCCAGCAGCCGCGGUAAUACGUAGGUGGCAAGCGUUGUCCGGAUUUAUUGGGCGUAAAGCGAGCGCAGGCGGAAUGAUAAGUCUGAUGUGAAAGCCCACGGCUCAACCGUGGAACUGCAUCGGAAACUGUCAUUCUUGAGUGCAGAAGAGGAGAGUGGAACUCCAUGUGUAGCGGUGGAAUGCGUAGAUAUAUGGAAGAA
rnacentral:rRNA from 1 species